GACGUAGGGGGCCAGCGUUGUUCGGAAUUACUGGGUGUAAAGGGUUCGUAGGCGGUGUGGCAAGUCGGGAGUGAAAUCUCUGAGCUCAACCCAGAGUCUGCUUCCGAAACUGCUGUGCUUGAGUGUGGGAGAGGCGCGUGGAAUUGCAGGUGUAGCGGUGAAAUGCGUAGAUAUCUGGAGGAACACCGGUGGCGAAGGCGGCGUCCUGGACCAACACUGACACUGAUGAGCGAAAGCCAGGGGAGCAAACGGG
rnacentral:rRNA from 1 species